rnacentral:rRNA from 1 species
CCUCGGGAGGCAGCAGUGGGGAAUAUUGCACAAUGGGCGCAAGCCUGAUGCAGCGACGUCGCGUGAGGGAUGACGGCCUUCGGGUUGUAAACCUCUUUCAGUAGGGAAGAAGCGAAAGUGACGGUACCUGCAGAAGAAGCGCCGGCUAACUACGUGCCAGCAGCCGCGGUAAUACGUAGGGCGCAAGCGUUAUCCGGAAUUAUUGGGCGUAAAGAGCUCGUAGGCGGUUUGUCGCGUCUGCCGUGAAAGUCCGGGGCUCAACUCCGGAUCUGCGGUGGGUACGGGCAGACUAGAGUGAUGUAGGGGAGACUGGAAUUCCUGGUGUAGCGGUGAAAUGCGCAGAUAUCAGGAGGAACACCGAUGGCGAAGGCAGGUCUCUGGGCAUUAACUGACGCUGAGGAGCGAAAGCAUGGGGAGCGAACAGGAUUAGAUACCCUGGUAGUCCAUGCCGUAAACGUUGGGCACUAGGUGUGGGGGACAUUCCACGUUUUCCGCGCCGCAGCUAACGCAUUAGUGCCCCGCCGUGGGGNGACGGCGCGAGAACGUAACGUACGAAGAAGUAGAGCGUGNGCGNGCGAGGCGACGACGAGGGAGGAGG